UCAGGGCUGCCACCCUGAGCGUGGCUAAACAACUGUUGCACAACAAGUUGAUAGCAUUUAAAGGCAACUAUGUAUAGUGCUACUUAAUAAGAUAAGCUUGAUCGCUUAUAUUUUGUGCACAACCGAAGUAACUAACAUACAUGCAUAUACCACAGUGGCUACUUCGUCAUGGCGGACAUCAUGAUCGUUUGUCUUAACUGCUGUUGCAUCUGUUGCGUAACGUGUUGGAUACAACGUUCAACGCACGUCCAUAUCAAUAUGCAUACAUAUGUACAUACUUAAGCGUAUAACGGCGGCCAUUUUCUCGUAGUUGCCAUCUAGUUAGUGAGCCUCAGGAAUGGCGUUGCCAGUUAAACACAAUUAAAGAUAGAUAAAGACCCACAAGCUCAACGUAAUCGCAAGCCCCAGAAGUUCGUACGGCACCAGAAAAUAAAGUACAUUAAAUAUGAA